rnacentral:tRNA from 1 species
GUUGGUGUAGCUCAGUGGGCGAGCACUCUGCUUCAUGAUAGCGAGUGAAGGGAGUUCGAGUCUCCCCGCCAACC